UACGUAGGGUGCGAGCGUUAAUCGGAAUUACUGGGCGUAAAGCGUGCGCAGGCGGUUUUGUAAGUCUGUCGUGAAAGCCCCGGGCUCAACCUGGGAAUUGCGAUGGAGACUGCAAGGCUUGAAUCUGGCAGAGGGGGGUAGAAUUCCACGUGUAGCAGUGAAAUGCGUAGAGAUGUGGCGGAACACCGAUGGCGAAGGCAGCCCCCUGGGUCAAGAUUGACGCUCAUGCACGAAAGCGUGGGGAGCAAACAGG
rnacentral:rRNA from 1 species